GGGGUUGACUGGUUUUGACAGCAUGUCGGAUGGGUAUGUAAGCAUGUCGAGCAUUGCAGAUAAGCUCGUAAAACUUAGCUGUAACAUUUUAAUUGGCGAAACUAGUUACGCUCUUGCCGCUUAAUCGAAGUUUAGUAGAUUUAGCAUAAUCCAGGCCCUAGGGGUCAGGACAAGACGUUCCGCAGAUGGAUCUGUCCGAUUCCUUUCUGACUAACGGGACGCACGCAAUUUCGGACUGGCCUGAGAGGCACUUCGACUCAAAGGCGAGAACACAGAAGAUAAGGGAUAAUUUGGGUGCUUGUUUCCGGGUUAUUCACGAAAAUCAAUAAUAAGCUACACAUGUAGAAAGCUUAUUUAUUCCAUGUUUGGACGCGGGUUCGAUUCCCGCCAGCUCCACCA
rnacentral:tmRNA from 1 species